rnacentral:misc_RNA from 1 species
AGCUGAUGCGGGGACUGAUCAAGAAUGGUAACAUUUUGGGCAUCCACAUGCUUUACAAUACCCAAAGUAGUGAAACCGGUGCCACCGCCAACAUCUACAACUAGCAAAUUCCUGUUAUUGAGAUCCGCAGGCUCUAGCGCAUCGUCUCUCAUGUCCUCAGUCCAGUGCCCAGGAUUUAUCACAUGAUCAUAUACAAUUGACAGGAACCGGUAGAACCAAAAAGCCUCUUUCUUGUGUU